CCGAUCUCAGCAUUAUUAAUGAAACCAUGGAUGCUACUUUCACAUUUUUAUAGAAUUAUAGAAUCAUAGAAUGGUUUGGAUUGGAAGAGACCUUAAAGAUCAUUCAAUUCCAAUCCCCCUGUAAACAUUUUAUCCUUUUAAUUCUAAGUUUGUUUGUUUUUCUUUACAUUCUCUUUAAAAUAUUAAAAAAACCACACCACCUUUUUGUUUCAUUUUAAUGUAAUAAAAAAACCAGACGCGUCCUUUUAUUUUUUGAUCUUGAAGGGGAUCUUGAAGAUGAAUAUAAAAAGAAUUAAUUGCCCAUUCAUAUAUAUUUACAUUCAUUAUCUUAUUUCCUUUGAUUCCAGUAAACUUGGUCCUGACUGAACCUGAAGUUAUCCCAAUUCAGAUUCAAGGAAUGCUUAUUUUCUAUAUAAGAUCAUAUCUUACGUGCCAGGAAAUUAAAGAGAAAUGUCAAGCUAGAAUGACAUAGUCUUUGCAGAAGCUGAACAUCACUGAAAAUAUUUCUAAGUCAAUUCUUUAUAUUCAAGCUCUGUUCAUGCCAUUUUAUUCAUUCCUUUCAAAAUCACUCCACCCCAGUCCCCCAUACACUGGCUCAGUUCCCUAUGCAGUUCAUAUUGAUGAAAUGGCGUAUCUGUUCAGUUAUAGGGAAGGAGCCAUUGACACAGCUCUGCCAAGAUUACUGUAAGUGCUUUUCUAUUACUGCAUUAGAAGAUGUAAUAGCUUAACAUCUCAAGGAAGAUCUUGUCUUCAAACUAGCAAAAUCAGAGCUAAUGGAAAAGGAUGUUGAAAUUAUUGAAGAUAAAUAAGCAAAAAAAUAAUUGAGUGAACACAUAUAUCUAACAACAGCUACGUUGGUAACAUCCCUCUGUAAAAUUUUUUUUUCCACAGUAACAGGGACUGCUAAUCAGCCUCUCGGGCAACCUCGUAAUCUCAAGGAUUUUGUAGAUUUUUAAAAUAGUGUCUUAUUCUUCAUAACUUUCUUGUCUCUCACACUCUCUUCUCACACAUUUGCAUUGACAACUGUUUUUCUAUUUUUUGUAUACCUUAUAUGUUAAACAAGGUAUAUCAGGGAAGAUUUUUCAUAAUUUGAAGAUAGUGGAAGAUGCAGUGGGAAGUGAGGAAUCAUUUGGGUGACCGUGUGAUGGGUGAGGCUCUCAUGAUUUCUCUGUGAAAGCACCAGAAAUAGUGGUCCACCUGCACACAAAUGCACACACCAUACAAAACAGUCAGGAGAUAUAUUUAGUAGGACAGUGUUGCCAAUGUAAGAAGCUUUGCCUGAAGGUGGAAUGCAUAACUUAUUUAACAGUUUCGACUCUCCAUCUCAUUUUAUU
rnacentral:lncRNA from 1 species